UACGUAGGGGGGCGAGCGUUUGUCCGGAUUCAUUGGGCGUAAAGAGCUCGUAGGCGGCUUGUCAAGUCGGGUGUGAAAACUCCAGGCUCAACCUGGAGACGCCACUCGAGACUGUCAUGGCUAGAGUCCGGUAGGGGAUCACGGAAUUCCUGGUGUAGCGGUGAAAUGCGCAGAUAUCAGGAGGAACACCUAUGGCGAAGGCAGCUCGCUGGGACGGUACUGACGCUGAGACGCGAAAGCGUGGGGAGCAAACAGG
rnacentral:rRNA from 1 species